rnacentral:rRNA from 1 species
GACGAACGCUGGCGGCGUGCUUAACACAUGCAAGUCGAACGAAGAGCGACGGAAGCUUGCUUCUAUCAAUCUUAGUGGCGAACGGGUGAGUAACGCGUAAUCAACCUGCCCUUCAGAGGGGGACAACAGUUGGAAACGACUGCUAAUACCGCAUACGAUCUAACCUCGGCAUCGAGGAUAGAUGAAAGGUGGCCUCUACAUGUAAGCUAUCACUGAAGGAGGGGAUUGCGUCUGAUUAGCUAGUUGGAGGGGUAACGUCCCACCAAGGCGAUGAUCAGUAGCAGGACUGAGAGGAUGAACGGCCACAUUGGGACUGAGACACGGCACAGACUCAUACGGGAGGCAGCAGUGGGGAAUCUUCCGCAAUGGACGAAAGUCUGACGGAGCAACGCCGCGUGAGUGAUGACGGCCUUCGGGUUGUAAAGCUCUGUUAAUCGGGACGAAAGGCCUUCUUGCGAAUAGUGAGAAGGAUUGACGGUACCGGAAUAGAAAGCAACGGCUAACUACGUG